rnacentral:misc_RNA from 1 species
UUUUAGUUUGUUUUAGGAUAUGUUCGACACUAAUUGUUUGUAGGAUUUAUGCCAAUUCUGCAAGAGUUUGUACAUUUAUGAUAUUCACUGUCAAUCCAGUGGAAUUUCAUUUAUUCCUUUUGUAAAUUUAAGUCAUGUCAACGUAUGCUGAAUGUUACUAAGUAAUUGUUCACCGUUUCAUUUGGUUAAUGUUUUCAAAUAGUUGCCAAAAGUAAUAAGCUUAUCGGCAGCAUAAGACUAGGUUUUUACUUUACAAAUUGCAUUGCAG